UGAAAACUGGUCGGUGAUUUAGGUAGUUUCUCGUUGUUGAGGCUGAACAUUCCUCUCUCUGCAGCACGAAACUGCCUUCAUCACCUCAGUUUAUA
ensembl:miRNA